rnacentral:tRNA from 2 species
CGCGGGGUGGAGCAGCUCGGUAGCUCGCUAGGCUCAUAACCUAGAGGUCAGGGGUUCAAAUCCCCUCCCCGCUACCA